rnacentral:ncRNA from 1 species
AGUUCCAACCCGAACAGUCGCCGGAUGGCGUGCGUGCCGAAAGGAUAGGGUUGGAACUUUUA